GAUGAACGCCGGCGGCGUGCCUAAUACAUGCAAGUCGAGCGAAUGGAUUAAGAGCUUGCUCUUAUGAAGUUAGCGGCGGACGGGUGAGUAACACGUGGGUAACCUGCCCAUAAGACUGGGAUAACUCCGGGAAACCGGGGCUAAUACCGGAUAACAUUUUGAACCGCAUGGUUCGAAAUUGAAAGGCGGCUUCGGCUGCCACUUAUGGAUGGACCCGCGUCGCAUUAGCUAGUUGGUGAGGUAACGGCUCACCAAGGCAACGAUGCGUAGCCGACCUGAGAGGGUGAUCGGCCACACUGGGACUGAGACACGGCCCAGACUCCUACGGGAGGCAGCAGUAGGGAAUCUUCCGCAAUGGACGAAAGUCUGACGGAGCAACGCCGCGUGAGUGAUGAAGGCUUUCGGGUCGUAAAACUCUGUUGUUAGGGAAGAACAAGUGCUAGUUGAAUAAGCUGGCACCUUGACGAUACCUAACCAGAAAGCCACGGCUAACUACGUGCCAGCAGCCGCAGUAA
rnacentral:rRNA from 1 species